rfam:Cricetulus griseus cell line CHO-K1, whole genome shotgun sequence.
CAAACGGCUCUUUUCAGAGCCACCUUCAUUUUCAUAAAAAGCUGU